AAACCAAAAAAUGAAAGGAGGGAAACUAAAAACACCCAUAGGCGGCAAACUGAAAUAUUUAUAGCGGCAAGGGUGGGGGGAAAGCUUGGAGUCGUUCCUCCUUCCCUAAUCUCUGCCAUUGUUAGUCUUCCUCUUAUUCUUCUUGAUCUCCUCGAAUCUUUUGAGUCGCUUCUUAUCCUUCAUCUUCACCUAGAGAGAGAAUUUCAUGUUUCGUUUCUCUGUUGAAAUGAAAGAGAGUUUCUGAAUGAUCUCACAACACUUCGCGUUCAAUCUAGCUGAAAGCCAUGAUUUCACCGUCUGUAAUCUAGGGUUUUGAAUCCGAGCAGGUAGUUGAAUGCAGGUUUUCCAUUUCAGUUUGUGGUUUUUGUUGAUAUCGCAACUGUUGUUCAUCCAGAAGUGGAAGGUUAUUACAGAGGAUUGGCUGAUGGGUGGAGCACGGCUUGCUUUUUUAGUUAAGAUCAUAGCCUAAAGGAGAGAAAAAGAGAAGGGAGGAGGAACAAAAACAUCAGCAGAACUAAGAAAGUUGAUUGUUCAAUUAAGGUUUUGAAGAUGUAUUGUUGACACAUGAACAACAUGUGGCUGCAUAGCUGCUAUUUCACAUCUUUGAUAUUAUGUGUGUACCUGGAGUCCAUAUAGCAAGAAGGUAUGAACACGGAUCAUCUGGUUCUCGCUUGUCCAGCUGUAAAAUGUAUAUGUUUAGCAAGUAAGUUUGAUAUAUUACCAAAUACAAUUCACAUAGUAGUGGAGAAUAACUGACCCCUUCCAGAAGAGGAUGUGAAUCAGGGAGUUCAUAACUGCAAUCAGGGAGAAAAGGAAGUUAGUGCAGAUCUUGCAGGAUUCGAGUCAUCCCUACUGUUUAGUAGGUUAUUUUACUUAUGAAAGCAAAUGCCGGAUAAUCAAAAUUGAUAUUCAAUAUCUUAAUGAUACCGGGUUUGCUCAGGAACUGGGUUUCUAGUUAAAAGUUUAAACAAUGGCCAGGGAAAUUAGGGCAUUGAUUAGUUGCACUGUCUGAGUGGGAGCCAGUGCUGCGUAUUACAGAAUUGGAUGAUGCAUAAUUUCUGAUGACUUCUCCUUGACUUAUUUUGGAAGGUAAGAGUUAAAUAGAGUCCAAAAAACUCUUCAUUUCAAGAAGGUACUGUUCUGAAACAAAUCCAACUUGAUAGUUAGAAGUAAUGCCACACACACACACACACACACACACACACACACACAAGGGGUAUAUGUGGCCAACUUACACUUGAUGCUCAGUUCGUAGCCUGCUCACAUUCUUCAGCUUUGGCACAGGGAUAGAAGCAGCUUCUGGAGUCAAAGCAACUAAAGCCUGAGACGUGUUUCCCUCUUGAAGUUCCAUGCUGUACUCAUUCAUGUAAUUCUGUUCUGGUGUUGCUGGGACUUCAAUGAUAGGUUCACAGCUUUUUUUAUCCUCCUUAUUUUCUGGUGCUGCAUCUGGUGGGUUUGCCUCAGGUAGAAGCAAUGGCAUUGUGUUGAUACCCACUGUUUGAUUGUCGAUACCCAAA